AUUAAAUACAUAAUUCAGUAAGCUCUAUUCCUUCAGUAAUCAAAAAUUACAUCGACCAGUAUAUCGAUUAAACAUACGGAUCGAAAGAAUUAAGUGGCCAAUUCUGGGAUAAAUUAGAAUGCUAUGUUACAGAAAUCUCUACAGCUAAUGAAAUAGAAAACUAUAAUCAAGCUUAUCUGAACCUACGGUAUCCAAUUACGAGGUGUGGCAAGCAAGGUAAAUAAAGCGAUACUGCAAAGGUUCAUUUUAAAACAAGAUGAAGGGCAUUGAAUCGAUCAAAAUUAGUAAUAAUCGAUUAAUUCUAUUUAGUAUAUGAAAAUACUGAUGAAGAUUCUGAACCACUUCUCAACAAUGCAGUUAAAAAUCCGUAGGUUCGUCCAAUAACAUUCCAAGAUUUUGAGACUGCUUUGAAACGAGUUCGAGCUAGUGUAUCAGACAUGGACUUAGACCAAUACGUGAAGUGGAAUAAUUUAUACGGUUCUGGAUAAAUAAUUCUGUCUGAAAUCAUAAACA